rnacentral:rRNA from 1 species
GACGAACGCUGGCGGCGUGCUUAACACAUGCAAGUCGAACGGAAAGGCCCCUUUGGGGGUCCUCGAGUGGCGAACGGGUGAGUAACACGUGAGUAACCUGCCCUUGACUUCGGGAUAACUUCAGGAAACUGGGGCUAAUACCGGAUAGGAAUCCUUGCUGCAUGGUGGGGGUUGGAAAGCUUCGGCGGUUUUGGAUGGACUCGCGGCUUAUCAGCUUGUUGGUGGGGUAGUGGCUUACCAAGGCUUUGACGGGUAGCCGGCCUGAGAGGGCGACCGGCCACAUUGGGACUGAGAUACGGCCCAGACUCCUACGGGAGGCAGCAGUGGGGAAUAUUGCACAAUGGGCGGAAGCCUGAUGCAGCAACGCCGCGGGCGGGAGGACGGCCUUCGGGUUGUAAACCGAUUUCAGCAGGGGCGAAGCUUGUGGUGACGGUACCUGCAGAAGAAGCACCGGCUAACUACGUG